AACGAGGACAUUGUUAGUGGAUUGGCAAAGACAAAUUAGAUUACUUUUUGGCAAAUUGGGGUUGUGAUAACAGUGAUUUCGACGAAGGAAGAGGAGAACGCAAGUCUUUUCGAGACGUAGAUCCAAUUUAGCGACUUCCAUCCACAAGAAGCAAGUUAUAAUUUAUCAGGAAAACUGUUCGACAAAAUGACUGAAUCAAACAAAAUUGGAUUUAACAAGUAAAUCAAGAACGAGAAAACACCAUUCCAUCCGCAGAAUAACAGAAUCAAAAAACAAUUCCAAUUGCCAUUUUUAAGCUCAAAAGCUUGAAACAGUCUAUAAUGGAGCUGAAACUGAAAGGUAAAUAAAACUCCAAAGCCACAACAUAUAUCGCGGCAUAUACACAGAUUUCGAAUUUUACUUAAGCUUUUCCAGCAAAAACAAAUACAUUUCAAGUUAGAACAUUGAUAGCUUGACAAGAUUUGUCACGGAAACAAAGUAGUAGAAGAAGAAAGAAAUGGAAGAACGACCUUCUAUUGUUGAAAUUCUGGAGCAAAUACGAUGAAAAUAAAGCUCUAAGACAACAAAACCUUCGAGCGAGCUACAGACUAGGCACCUGGAUCGGAAUCGGCGUCAUGAACUUUUUCAACUCGACUGGAUUUGGGUAGUGAUUUCGAGCUGAUUUCCAUGCAGAUUUAGUGUAGUUUCAGAGAGUUUUGGAGCUGAGUUUACCACUGGGUUCGAACUCGGUUUAGCUUGAUUCAACGGAGGGUCGUCGGAGUUACGAGAUGAAGAAACCGUUGGAAAUUUCGAUCCCUCCCCCUUCUAACUGCUUAGGUCUUAGGCGUUCCUCUUGUGGUGUCCAAGGAAGAAGAAGGGUGUUGUCUUCUCUAGGGUCUUGGGAGGUGAAGGGUUCUUCUCAUGUUAGCCCUUUUAGGUGUAGCUAUAUAUUAUGUAUUUUCAGCUCAUUUAGGCGUUAGGUUCAUUAGAGAUUGAAUUUUUGUUCUUAUUUGUUUGUAAAGAAGGAGAUGUUGGGUCCGAAAUUGUUCUUUGUGGCGCUAACUUUCAGUUUUUUUGGCGUCCUCUGUGUAUUUUUCAGCUUUAGGGUCUUAUAGGUCUGUUUAUAUUUUGUGCAUUUUACCAAUUAAUUUCUAGACUUUUUUGUGUUAAGUA
rnacentral:lncRNA from 1 species